UAGGGAAUCUUCGGCAAUGGGGGGAACCCUGACCGAGCAACGCCGCGUGAGUGAAGAAGGUUUUCGGAUCGUAAAGCUCUGUUGUUAAGGAAGAACGAGUGUGAGAAUGGAAAGUUCAUGCUGUGACGGUACUUAACCAGAAAGGGACGGCUAACUACGUGCCAGCAGCCGCGGUAAUACGUAGGUCCCGAGCGUUGUCCGGAUUUAUUGGGCGUAAAGCGAGCGCAGGCGGUUAGAAAAGUCUGAAGUGAAAGGCAGUGGCUCAACCAUUGUAGGCUUUGGAAACUGUUUAACUUGAGUGCAGAAGGGGAGAGUGGAAUUCCAUGUGUAGCGGUGAAAUGCGUAGAUAUAUGGCGGAACACCGGUGGCGAAAGCGGCUCUCUGGUCUGUAACUGACACUGAGGCUCGAAAGCGUGGGGAGCGAACAGG
rnacentral:rRNA from 1 species